rnacentral:tRNA from 1 species
GCCCCCAUCGUCUAGACGGCCUAGGACAUUUCCCUUUCACGGAAACAACGGGGAUUCGAAUUCCCCUGGGGGUA